CCUACGGGCGGCAGCAGUGAGGAAUAUUGGUCAAUGGGCGGGAGCCUGAACCAGCCAAGUCGCGUGAGGGAAGACGGUCCUAUGGAUUGUAAACCUCUUUAGGCGGGGAGCAAUGCCGGGCACGCGUGCCCGGAGGGACAGUACCCGCAGAAUCAGCAUCGGCUAACUCCGUGCCAGCAGCCGCGGUAAUACGGAGGAUGCGAGCGUUAUCCGGAGUUGUGGGGUUUACAGGGUGCGUAGGCGGAUUGUAAAGUCAGCGGUAAAAUGUCCGGGCUCAACCCGGGCCGGCCGUUGAAGAUGGGGAGCUUGAGUGGGCGAGAAGUAUGCGGAAUGCGUGGUGUAGCGGUGAAAUGCAUAGAUAUCAGGCAGAACACCGAUUGCGAAGGCAGCAUACCGGCGCCCGACUGACGCUGAGGCACGAAAGCGUGGGGAUCGAACAGGAUUAGAUACCCCAGUAGUC
rnacentral:rRNA from 1 species